rnacentral:rRNA from 1 species
GCUCAACCGGGGAGGGUCAUUGGAAACUGGGGAACUUGAGUGCAGAAGAGGAGAGUGGAAUUCCACGUGUAGCGGUGAAAUGCGUAGAGAUGUGGAGGAACACCAGUGGCGAAGGCGACUCUCUGGUCUGUAACUGACGCUGAGGAGCGAAAGCGUGGGGAGCGAACAGGAUUAGAUACCCUGGUAGUCCACGCCGUAAACGAUGAGUGCUAAGUGUUAGGGGGUUUCCGCCCCUUAGUGCUGCAGCUAACGCAUUAAGCACUCCGCCUGGGGAGUACGGUCGCAAGACUGAAACUCAAAGGAAUUGACGGGGGCCCGCACAAGCGGUGGAGCAUGUGGUUUAAUUCGAAGCAACGCGAAGAACCUUACCAGGUCUCGACAUCCUCUGACAAUCCUAGAGAUAGGACGUCCCCUUCGGGGGCAGAGUGACAGGUGGUGCAUGGUUGUCGUCAGCUCGUGUCGUGAGAUGUUGGGUUAAGUCCCGCAACGAGCGCAACCCUUGAUCUUAGUUGCCAGCAUUCAGUUGGGCACUCUAAGGUGACUGCCGGUGACAAACCGGAGGAAGGUGGGGAUGACGUCAAAUCAUCAUGCCCCUUAUGACCUGGGCUACACACGUGCUACAAUGGACAGAACAAAG